rnacentral:rRNA from 1 species
UACGAAGGGGGCUAGCGUUGCUCGGAAUCACUGGGCGUAAAGCGCAUGUAGGCGGGUCUUUAAGUCAGAGGUGAAAUGCCAAGGCUCAACCUUGGAACUGCCUUUGAUACUGGAGAUCUUGAGUCCGGAAGGGGCGAGUGGAAUUCCUGGUGUAGCGGUGAAAUGCGCAGAUAUCAGGAGGAACACCAAUGGCGAAGGCAGCUCGCUGGGACGUGACUGACGCUGAGACGCGAAAGCGUGGGGAGCAAACAGG